GACGAACGCUGGCGGCGUGCUUAACACAUGCAAGUCGAACGAGAUCCAACGAGUGGCAACACUCGGGAAGAUCUAGUGGCGAACGGGUGCGUAACACGUGAGGAACCUACCCCGGUCUCUGGAAUAACAGGUGGAAACACCUGCUAAUACCAGAUGCCGUCAGAUCAUCGCAUGGUGAACUGACGAAAGAAUUUCGGAUCGGGACGGUCUCGCGGCCUAUCAGCUUGUUGGUGGGGUAAUGGCCUACCAAGGCGUCGACGGGUAGCUGGUCUGAGAGGAUGAUCAGCCACACUGGGACUGAGACACGGCCCAGACUCCUACGGGAGGCAG
rnacentral:rRNA from 1 species